UUUGACGUAGGUUGCUAUAGGAUCACUUCUUGGUCAUACUUUUAUCGACCGUGCUUUGCCUUCUCUUCUCGCUCUCAUUUGCGUAUGUUAGCCACCAUUUAUGCUAGUCGCUUGCUGCAGCUCCACCUCAUGCCUUUACCUUACCCAUAAGCUUAAAUAGUCUUGAUCUCGUGGGUGCGAGAUUGCUGAGUCCCCGUGGCUCAUAGAUACUUCCAAAACCAGUUUGCAGGUGCCUAUGUUACCGAGCAGGUGACGCAACCAAGCUCAAGGAGGAGCUCGACGAAGAUGUUGCCCUUUGUGUUGUUUCGUUCUAGUUGAUCAGUAGUGGAGCCCAGUUGGGGUCGAUCGGGGACCUUUGUCGCAUUUGGGGUUCUUCUUUUAUUUUGGUUCUAUAGUGGGACCUUGAUUGUAUCUGGAUGAUGUAAUGCUUUAUUCAUGUAAUUGUGUGAAGUGGCGAUUGUAAGCCAACUAUGUAUCUCUUUCCCUUAUGUAUUACAUGGGUUGUGUGAAGAUUACCUCACUUGCGACAUUGCUUUCAAUGCGGUUAUGCCUCUAAGUCGUGCUUUGACAUGUGGGAGAUAUAGCCGCAUCGAGGGCGUUACAAGUUGGUAUCAGAGCCUUCCCCGACCUUAGGAGCCCCAUUGCUUGAUCGUUUUUAGCGGCCGAGUUGUGCCUAGAAAAAUGUUUGAGUCAUUUAGGAUUAUAUAUAUCGGAGAGUUAGGAAUUCUUUUUACUCCCCAGUCUCUCCAUCGCUCUAGUAAGGCAUCCUGACGUAGAGUUUUGACUCUUCUCUUCUCAAAUUUCACUAAAUUUUUUUUAGGAUCACGCGGGUAUCUUGGAAUCAUUCCGAUGGUUUUAUGAUGAGAACAUUGUCUUGGUGCCUCCUGUCAGGGGUUUAGUGGAAGUGUCCCGGGGAGUUGAGCUCUGAGGUAUUGUCGUCAUAAUUUUAUCGUUGCAGUUCUGGAAUACCUGAGUUUAGUACGCCGAGAUCGAAAAUCUCUUUUAUGCAGUUGUUGGUGAGAUAACCCCGAUAACCCAGUACUGAGGUGAGUACGGGAGUAUUGCCAUGACUCGUGUAACGGAUGCUUUUCGAAGGUUGAGGUAGACGAUUUCCGAAGGUUUCUUGGUUAUGUGUUGAAGGAUGGAUACAGCUGGAUGUAGGAUUUGCUAGUUUUGGGUGAGAUAUUAUGCUUCCCCUGUAUCCCCAACACCUGAUUGCAUAAUCGGAAAAUUUCGGGAGUUUCAUAGGUGGGUAUUCAAGUAGCUCUUAGGAUAUCUUUCCGACGGAUGUAUGAUAUGAAAUUGGGGUUCGACGUCUAGUGGUCCGCCUAUUCACGGUUGGUUUUACAGUGGUCUCGUUGUGUCUUAAAGAGUCCUUGGCUAUGCCGACUCGGGGACGCUUCAUAUGUCAUGUGCACUGCCUUGUACAUGAUGGUGCUGUACGAUCGAGCCCGUGUAGGCCCCACCACGAAAACUUCGGACGAAAUCUCUAUCAUAUGUUUGUUCCGGCUUAUUCUGCAAGCCAGUCCUUUGUUUUUUGUUUUGAGUUGUGGUAUUCGAGUUGCUUCAAUGUCAAGUGUUGAUUCCAUACCUUUCCGAAAUGGUGUUCUCAUACUCCGAUGUGAAUACCAAUCCUUCUCGACAAUCGAGAUUGUCAUGUCAAUCCUUUUCAACCGGCGUGUUUCUCUUCAAGUGGAUCCGAUCACUUCAACAUCAGCAAGACCAAUUAUCAUUUCUUCUCAACGAUGUUUGUUUCAUCCGUCUCCAAGUUGCCUUUGUUUUUCCCGACCACCCACCCUUUUUCCUCAAGGACUAAGAUUUCUUUACCAAGUAUCCAUUUAUUCAUGUGAAGUCUCUCCAUUCUUUUCCGUCAAUGUUCUUAUCCGGUGAUUCUCAGGAAGAUACUAACGGAGCUUCAAGUUUAUUAUUCUUUGUCUCUUUUCUUCUCCGGUGGAUUCAAUUCAAGCUUUCGGUUUUCAUCAUAUUCCUUUCCUCGUUUCUAAUGCUUUCUCAUGCCGAUGCACCUCUUAAUCAUUCACUUCUCACUAUUCAUUUGUUCCGGAGUGCUUAAGAUUUUCUCAGGAAGAUUUGUGUUUCCAUUCUCAAUCCGUUCAAGUUAGUUUGAGGUUGUUAUCUCAUUUAAGCCAUUUAUUUCAACCGGUGCAAUCCCCCCUUUUCAAUCAAUCAUUCAACGGUGUUUUCCUUUGAGUGGGCCCUAACCCACAGGUCUUUUCCCAGGAUCUUACCUGACUCUUCUAUUUUCCCAGAGCUAUCCUAAAUUCUUCUCCAAGUUUGACGUAAGAAUGAGUUAUCAUCAGUCAAAUACUUUUCUCCAAGAUCUUUCAAAUUCUUUUCAUAGUUGGCUCAACCUCUUCGCUUUUGAUUCUUCCGGUGUGCCUCAAUAAUUCUUGGUGGUGUUUCUCGUUGUCAUUCUCAUCAUUUGAAGACCGAAGAAGAGUUUCUCUUUAAUCUUGCUCUAUUGUCUUCAAGAUUCAUGGUUCUAGCUUUAUGCCAUCCUCAUAAUUGUUUUUGAUUGUGACAAUUCUCUUCUUACCAUCAGGAGCAUUUCAUGAGUUGUUUCAAUUUCUUUCCUUUGAAGCCGUCAUGUCAUAAUUCUUCAUUCUCACCGUGUAGCUAUCGUUCUCCAAAUCUUACCGGUGCAUCGUUCAAAUAUCCUCUAAUCAGUUCAUGAUCUCUUCAUUCUCAUGUAUCUAAAUCCCCUCAAGUAUCUUCAUUCGUUUUACAAUUCUUCCCGGUGAAUUGUGCCUUUGCUACUUUCAUUUUGAAUUCUUACGGUGGUUCACUCAAGAUUUCACUUCCUUCGUUAUCAUAUCAAAUAUUCGUUGUUCCCAAAUCCCACUGGUGGUUCCAUCAAUACCUUCUCAAGUUUACGCCAUAUCUCUUUAAUCCUUUCUACGAGAAUAAGUAGUAUGCCAAAUCCAUUGCUUGUCAUCAAUUUAUAUUGGUGAAGGAUACGCAUAACAUAAUUCUUAUUCUUGUUUCAUCCAAGUGAUUAAUCCCUUCCUUCAGAGUUUGUUCAGGAGGAAUAAAUUCUUGGUUUCUUGUUGUUCAUCUUUCUUUCGGAGUUCCAAGUUUUCCGCAUUAUCUCGUCGCGAAGCUCCAUCUAAAUCAUUGCAAGGCUUCUUCUCGUUCUUUUCAACUUUCCUUUCGUUGGAUCUUUCUUUUAUUAACGGAGUUCUUCAUGGAGGCUCUAUAUGGUGGUUCGUCAAGGAUUCUUUUCAUUCUUCAAUUGUUCGUCAAGAUUUCUCUUGAAGUUAAGAUCCUCCAAGCUAUACUCUAAGAUAAACAUGGUGCUCAACACAUGUCUUGUUUUGAGGAGUUCAAGCAUUCUUCAUCUUGCAUUCCAAAGUGCAAUUCUUUCUACCUCAUCUUCUGAGGUGGUGUUAGGUCAUUCUUGAUAAUUUCCCUUCGCGUUUCAUGAUUCACAAGUUUUCAAGAGUGACAUAUCUAAAUCCAUCUUUUUCUCUUUGUUCAAGAGAUCUUUUCAACCGUCAAUCUCUUCAUUGGAGUUAUCUUGGUAUAGAUUUCACCUAAAGCCUUCCCUAAGGAAUGUUGCUAUUUUGGUGCUUAUUAAUGACCCAAGUUAUCUCUUUUCCAUCUUGAUGGAACAAGCUUUCAUCUCUUCGUUAAUCUCAAGCAAGCAAUUGUUUCCGUUAGUGGCCGGUUGUCACCUCAUAAUGUUGAGAUGUUUCCAUAAGCCCACUACAAACUUAUUCUUUUUGUUGUUGGUCUUCCAACAACUCUAUUCUAACCUUCUUGCAAGGAUGCCUUCCAAAUUCAAUUGUGGUAGAAGUUGGCAUUUUCUUCUCCAUUCUGUUAUUCCAAUGAUCUAUCUUCUAUUCUUUCUUCCGGAGGCAUUGUGAUGUUGCUCUUUUCACUCAUCAUCUCGAAUUGUGAGGACCAUGUUCUUUUCGUGCUUAUCCAUUUAACUGGAGUGUUGUGUCAUCUCUUAAAGUUCUUUUCAUCUUAUCAAGUUUUGCAUCUCUUUUCAACCGGAGUGUUGUUCGAAUUUGAUCUUCCUUGUUCCUUGUUUAUCUCGUUUCAACCAGAGUGGUUUCAAUUCCUUCUUGUCCAUUGUACUCAUCAUUCAUAGCUUUGCAACCUCCAAGGUUCACAUGGUGUUCCUUGUUUCUAUUUUCUACCGCAGUGCUCUCAAUUGUGUUCAACUCUGUUGUGUUCUUUCUUUCAAGUUUUUCAACCUCUCAAGGAUCGUGGUUUCACUCGUUUGUCAAAGAAGCAACUUAGUUUUACCUCUUCUCUUCCUCUUCCAUUUCUCUCCGGUGCCAUCCUAGAUCUCGAGACGAGAUCCUCUUAUAGUGGUGGAGUGUUGUAACGCCCCGAGACCGACGCUCCAGAUGCCUUCCUUGUAUUCCGAGAUUCGUCGUGUGAUUUAUUUGUUUGAUGCAUUCAUCAUUGCAUCAUUUGCAUUGCAUCAUGCCAUCAUGUCAUUUAAUUUUUUAAAAACUCAACUAAAUAAAUGGCAUGGAUCUUUGAUCCAUUUAAAUCGAGGGAAUUCACAUGGUGAUUCUCUUUAAAACAUAUCCUCUCAAUAUUUAGAGAGCUAUAGUAAAUAUUCCAAUUAUUUGGAAUUAACCAUAACCCACUUGCUAAAUAUUCCAACGCCUUUGUUAUCUUAAUUCUUGGUCUCCAACCUUGCCGAUAAUUUCUUUUAUCAUAUUCCGGAGCUCCAUCAAAAAUCCCAACAUUUUUGGACACUUCAAAAACCAAGUCCUAGUUCAAACCCAUUUGAAUUAAAUUCAAAUGAGUUUGAAUUUAAAUAUUUCAAUCGUGGCCUUUCUAUUUUUCUUGGAACGAGCAUAUUUUUGCGAGUCCGGGAAAAAUUAUCCCCAUGCGCAAAUCUUUCCCUAACCCUCUCUUUCUUUUCCUCUCUUUAUUUCUUUUCUGAUAGAGAUUUGUGAGAAAGAGCCCAGCCUAACCAACAAACCAGGCCGACCCAUUUGCCUGGAGGUCCAGCCCACCUAACCCCUUCCUAACCCUAGCCCGAGCGCUCCCAUCGAUCAUUUCCCCUCCUCGUCCCCUUCCGCCGCCAGCCACUCGUCCCGAUCGGGAUCGUCCUCGAUCCCCAUCUCCCCUGAUCUCUCCCUCGUCUCCCGUUCGAGCGCCGCCAGGAGAGGAGAGCCCCAGCGCCCGUCCCCAACUCCUCCCGAUCCCCUCAUCCUCUCCCUCUCAUCUUAUCCCGAGCUGCCGCCCUGUUGCAUCGCCGCCCCACCACCGAGCACCGCCUCUCUGCGCGGCUCCUUCCCCGCGGCCUCAAGCCCCUCGCCGGAGCUGCACCCAAGCCGCGCUGCCGGCCAAGCCCCUCGACCCACCGACCAGAGCCGCGCCCGUCCGCCUCGGAGCCGGCCUCCACCGCCUCCUCCCUCACCUACCGCGUCCUCUUCCACCUCGCGCGACCUCCUGCCUCGUCCUCGUCCCGUGCCUCUCCACCUCCUCGCGCCGACCGCUCGCCCUCCUACUGUGCCCACCGCCUGUCAUGGCCUGCGAGGCCAUCAGCUUUGCCGCGACCCUGUUCGCGUGAAGCCCCUGCUCCACCACCAUCGCCUCCUUGCUGCUGGCAUCCCGAGGUCCUUGUGUUGUUGUGCGUUGGACCGUCAAGGAUGCGCCAAGAUCGACUACAUGGACGCUAAGACCACACCAGGACCGCCAAGCAUCGUUCCGGGAGUUUUCCCCAAGUACCACUACGGUCGUCAUCCGCCAAGUACCCCUUCGGAUCACCAAGUUCAACUACCAUCGGCGCUAACCGCUUCCGAGACAUGUACCCCUACCGUCGACCCGCGAAGACCCCGUGGACUCAAGUUCCUUGUGGUGACCCCGAACAUCUACGGAUCAUGAACAACUACUUCAUCUGCAAAACGUGAAAAACUACUUCCACUACGAACAUGUACAACUACCGUCGCCACGUGAACAACGACUUCCACUACGCCGUGUACGACUACUUCCCACGACGACCCGUGAACGUCUACGAGAUGUACCACUACCGUCGGCCCGUGAACGACUACUUCCCUCUACGAAACGCGAACCGUCCCGUUUGAACGCUUCGAAGGUAUAACCCGAAACGACCGCUGAGACGACCUUUCGAGAAUGCAUGUGUGUUGUAUGAGAUGCUCGUGUUUGCACCGUGUCUGAGAGAGGUCUUUGCAUGUUCGUCAUUUGCCAUGCCGUCGACCCGUGGGAACCCGAUAGUCGGGAGUAACCCACCAUAUUUUGCAUGUUCCGCACAUCCGCACACUUUCUUUUGCACCGACAUCUCAACGAGUUGUCGGAUCACCGGAAUGUUGUCGUGGCACCAUUUCCGUUGUAGUUGCCGUGGCACCCUUUCGUUCCUCCAUGGCGACAAAUGCUUCAUAACAUGCUUAUGUCAACAUUUUUAUAAAAAAAUUGCAUAUAACUUGCAUAUGUCAUCCGCAUCAUGAUAACAACAAUUAAAAUGUUUAAAAUUGUUGCUUGCUUUAAAUUGCUAAAUAACAUGGGGAUUUUCCGGAAGUGUUGUUUGUGUUUCCGGCCUCAUUUAAACUUGCCUAAAUAUGUAGUUUAAUUAUGCUUCACCUCUUGCCAUGUUAACCAACAUUUAAUCUUGUCUUGUUCAUAACUGAGAGAGAAACUAAAUAAUUGAUGUGGUGUUCCGUCAAUAUGCAACUCGUUGCAUAUUGAGCUCCACUUAAUUUGUAGUAUUGUUUGUGCACUUUGCCAUGCCAUGCCUCAUUAAACCGGACAUGCAUCAUACUUGUUUGUGCAUCAUGACAUGUUUAUGCUUGUGUGUUUACCAUGUUGUUUGCUUCUUUCCGGUUUGCUUCUCUCAUUAGCUUCGGUUUCAUUCCGGAGUUGUGAGGAUUCGUUCGACUACGUGCGUUUGUCUUCUUCAUGGACUCGUUCUUCUUCCUAGCGGGAUCUCAGGCAAGAUGAUCAUACCCUCGAAAUCACUACUAUCUUUGCUAUGCUAGUUUGCUCGCUCUUUUGCUAUGCCAAUGCUACGAUGCCUACCAUUUGCUUCUCAGCCUCCCAAAUUGCCAUGUCAAACCUCUAACCCACCAUGUCCUAGCAAACCGUUGUUUGGCUAUGUUACCGCUUUGCUCAGCCCCUCUUAUAGCGUUGUUAGUUGCAGGUGAAGAUGAAGUUUGUUCCUUGUUGGAACAUGGAGAUGUUGUUCCUUGUUGGAACAUGUUUACUUGUUGGGAUAUCACAAUAUCUCUUAUUUAAUUAAUGCACCUAUAUACUUGGUAAAGGGUGGAAGGCUCGGCCUUAUGCCUGGUGUUUUGUUCCACUCUUGCCGCCCUAGUUUCCGUCAUACCGGUGUUAUGUUCCCGGAUUUUGCGUUCCUUACGCGGUCGGGUGAUUUAUGGGACCCCCUUGACAGUUCGCUUUGAAUAAAACUCCUCCAGCAAGGCCCAACUUUGGUUUUACCAUUUGCCUACCUAAGCCUUUUUCCCUUGGGUUCUACAGACUCAAGGGUCAUCUUUAUUUUACCCCCCCGGGCCAGUGCUCCUCCGGGUGCUGGUCCAAACCGAGCGAUGUCCGGCGCCCCCUGGGCAACCAGGGUCUAUGCCAACCCGUCGUCUUGCUCAUCCGGUGUGCCCUGAGAACGAGAUAUGUGCAGCUCCUAUCGGGAUUUGUUGGCACAGCGGGUGGUCUUGCUGGUCUUGUUUUACCAUUGUCGAAAUGUCUUGAUGUACCGGGAUACCGAGUCUGAUCGGAGUGUCUUGGGUGAAGGUCUAUUCCUUCGUUGAUCGUGAGAGCUUGUCAUGGGCUAAGUUGGGACACCCCUAUAGGGUUAUAAACUUUCGAGAGCCGUGCCCGCGGUUAUGUGGCAGAUGGGAAUUUGUUAAUGUCCGGUUGUAGAUAACUUGACACCAGAUCCGAAUUAAAAUACAUCAACCGUGUGUGUAACCGUGAUGGUCUCUUCUCGGCGGAGUCCGGGAAGUGAACACGGUGUUGGAGUUAUGUUUGACAUAGGUUGCUAUAGGAUCACUUCUUGAUCAUACUUUUAUCGACCGUGGUUUGCCUUCUCUUCUCGCUCUCAUUUGCGUAUGUUAGCCACCAUUUAUGCUAGUCGCUUGCUGCAGCUCCACCUCAUGCCUUUACCUUACCCAUAAGCUUAAAUAGUCUUGAUCUCGCGGGUGCGAGAUUGCUGAGUCCCCGUGGCUCACAGAUACUUCCAAAACCAGUUUGCAGGUGCCUAUGUUACCGAGCAGGUGACGCAACCAAGCUCAAGGAGGAGCUCGACGAAGAUCUUGCCCUUUGUGUUGUUUCGUUCUAGUUGAUCAGUAGUGGAGCCCAGUUGGGGUCGAUCUGGG
rnacentral:lncRNA from 1 species